rnacentral:rRNA from 1 species
GAUGAACGCUGGCGGCGUGCUUAACACAUGCAAGUCGAACGGUGAAGCAGGAGCUUGCUCCUGUGGAUCAGUGGCGAACGGGUGAGUAACACGUGAGCAAUCUGCCCUGGACUCUGGGAUAAGCGUUGGAAACGACGUCUAAUACCGGAUACGAGGCGUGGGGGCAUCCCCAACGCCUGGAAAGAACUUCGGUCCAGGAUGAGCUCGCGGCCUAUCAGGUAGUUGGUGAGGUAAUGGCUCACCAAGCCUACGACGGGUAGCCGGCCUGAGAGGGUGACCGGCCACACUGGGACUGAGACACGGACCAGACUCCUACGGGAGGCAGCAGUGGGGAAUAUUGCACAAUGGGCGCAAGCCUGAUGCAGCAACGCCGCGUGAGGGACGACGGCCUUCGGGUUGUAAACCUCUUUUAGCAGGGAAGAAGCGAAAGUGACGGUACCUGCAGAAAAAGCACCGGCUAACUACGUGCCAGCAGCCGCUGUAACAC